GAAGAGAAGAGAAGAGAAGAGAAGAGAAGAGAAGAGAAGAGAAGAGAAGAGGAGUAAAAGCCGGCCAUGGGCACAUGGAGAGAAAGAGGGAGGGGGAGAGAAGGGACAGAGGGGAAUCGAAUUAGAGAGCAAGAGAAGAACAAGAGAGAGAGGAGGGGGCAAGUAGCCCCUUUUAUAGUGAGUCAGUCACACCUAUCUGUUGCCAGGUAACUGUAGGACGAGCUUACUUAGACAGAAUGCUAACAACCUAGGCAACGGUGUCAUCAUAAUCCACAUGACAGGAAGGAGUGUUGUCCACAGUGAAGCUGGUGGGAGACUGAGGAUGUGUUGCCUGCUGCAUGACCUGCAAGUGAAGCUGUGGGCUUACAAGGCCUCAGUGACACCCACCAAGGGACUUGCCAUGAUGAGACUCGAUCCUGGGCAGACUGAGCAGAUGCUGGGUCCUGUGGAUGUGACAUGGAACGGAUGUCACCUUCAGUCUUCUGCAGCAUCCAAAGUCCUGCAAGAUUCCUGGAGCCAGUGACAUCCUGUGAAAACUCAUGGAAGUCUCUGGAAAGAAGAAGCUCAGAAUUUACCGAGUUUGUCAGUGACCACAUGAUCAAUUCCACCCCACAGAAUCUAAAGAAUAAGACCCUUGGCUUCAGCAAGGGACACGGCUCUCCGACUCAACUCCCUCCAUAGAAACAGCAACAGGGGGGCCACAAGCAUGGGGGUGCGCAGAGUCUGUCACAGCUGACAAACAUUCAGUGAAGAAAUGGAAUCUUUUCGUGGUUUCCUUGGGCUAAAAGGACAAAGCGUGCUAAAGUCAUCUACUUAUCCAGAUGAGAGAGAUAGGAAGGUCACUUUUCUGUCACAUUUUGGUUCUUGGGUUUGUUGUGUGGCAUGAAAGGAGGAGGAAAAAUAAAUGAAUAUAUUUUUCACACCUGCGAAACUGACUAACAACAGACUUCAUUUGACUCAAAUAAAUCAGAAGUUAAUUUGGCUUUGGAAUUGGAUUACAAUACAGAGAGUAGCGGACAUAAGCUAUGACUUGUAAACACGGGGCGCAGAUGAGAAGCAGUGAGCAAGAGGCUUUCUAACAAACGGCGUCGCUAAGCAC
rnacentral:lncRNA from 1 species